CGGGGUGGAGUAACGCGUGGGUAACCUGCCUCAUACAGGGGGAUAACAGUUAGAAAUGACUGCUAAUACCGCAUAAGCACACAGUACCGCAUGGUACAGUGUGAAAAACUCCGGUGGUAUGAGAUGGACCCGCGUCUGAUUAGCUGGUUGGCGGGGUAACGGCCCACCAAGGCGACGAUCAGUAGCCGACCUGAGAGGGUGACCGGCCACAUUGGGACUGAGACACGGCCCAA
rnacentral:rRNA from 1 species